rnacentral:tRNA from 1 species
UCGGGCCGGCCGGUCGGGACGGUCCGGCGUGCCGCUCGUGACGGCGCCGGUCGGGCCGGUCGCGCCGGUCGGGCCGGA